UUUCCCAUCGGUUUCACACCCACUAGUCCCGGGUUUCACGUCACGCAUUAAUCAUUCUAUCUCUCUUUCCUCAUCAGUCCCUUCCUCUCACAAUGUCUAGUCUUCUUCAGAUCUUCUUCCCCUUUUAUCUUCUUCUCUUUGAAACCCUAAUCUAAUUUGCGUGUUUUCACCAUGAAUGACGUUCGGUCUACUUCCCUCUUCUAUGAAAUCAUGAUCUAUGGAACUCCUAAGCGAAGGGAAAGUAGAAGUUUUCCAUUACCACUCCAAUGACAAAAAAUCAUGUCUCUUGCCACCAUGAAGAGUUUGACAUGAGGAGAUCUUGUGACGGUUGAAAGCUUGGUAGGGGAGAGCUCCUUCCUGAGAGGGAUAGAGCAAGAGGGGGGCUUGCCACUACACCAAAUGAUGUUGGAGCAGAACCUGAUAUGGACGAGGACAAUGAAGGUUUAAACAACCAGUCCCCAGACUUCGAGAAUUUCUACAUUCUUGAUCCACCAUUGGUCGAUCUGCCCAUAGGGAGGACCUCUUGAACGCCAGAGUGGUAAAUUGACUGGGACUGGAGCGACGCCAAGGAGUCGAAGAUCUUGUUCAUCCCCUAUAUAUAACACAGAUGUGAUGCGAGAGACGUAUCAGCUCACCACAAAUGCUAUUAAUAGGAUUUCACAGUGGCCAUUUGUAAAGGAUGAGAUGGCAAUGCGUAAACAUCGAGAAUUGUACGCAGAGCUACAAUAAAUUCCUGGACUAUCACCGCAAGAUGGCCUAACGAUUGCCCGGUCAUUGCUUGCAGAUCCUAUGUUGCUCACCUAUUUCAUGGACUUCCCAACAAAAUGGAAGUUUAAUAAUUACAUGCAAGUCCUUGAACGUGUUGAGAUUGGUAUCCUAAUUCUCUUGGUAGUCUCGUAAUUUAUAAACACCUCUGUAAACAUAUUGUUAAUUAAUAUAAUAAAUGUUAUUUAAUAAGCAUUUACUCAAA